GACGAACGCUGGCGGCGUGCCUAAUACAUGCAAGUAGAACGCAGUUGCGAACGGGUGAGUAACGCGUAGGUAACUGCCUCAUAGCGGGGGAUAACUAUUGGAAACGAUAGCUAAUACCGCAUACUGUGAGAUGGACCUGCGUUGUAUUAGCUGGUUGGUGAGGUAAAGGCUCACCAAGGCGACGAUACAUAGCCGACCUGAGAGGGUUAUCGGCCAGCCUGGAACUGAGACACGGCCAAGACUCCUACGGGAGGCAGCAGUGGGGAAUCUUGGGCAAUGGACGGAAGUCUGCCGGAGCAACGCGGCGUGAGUGAAGAAGGUUUUCGGAUCGUAAACCUCGUUUGUUGGAGAAGCGGUAUCUAACCAAAAAGCAACGGCUAACUCCGUGCCAGCAGCCGCGGUAAUAC
rnacentral:rRNA from 1 species